AACGAACGCUGGCGGCAUGCCUAACACAUGCAAGUCGAACGAGACCUUCGGGCCUAGUGGCGCACGGGUGCGUAACGCGUGGGAACCUGCCCUUAGGUUCGGAAUAACUCACCGAAAGGGGUGCUAAUACCGGAUAAUGUCUUCGGACCAAAGAUUUAUCGCCUUUGGAUGGGCCCGCGUUGGAUUAGCUAGUUGGUAGGGUAAAAGCCUACCAAGGCGACGAUCCAUAGCUGGUCUGAGAGGAUGAUCAGCCACACUGGGACUGAGACACGGCCCAGACUCCUACGGGAGGCAGCAGUGGGGAAUAUUGGACAAGGGGCGAAAGCCUGAUCCAGCAAUGCCGCGUGAGUGAUGAAGGCCUUAGGGUUGUAAAGCUCUUUUACCCGGGAUGAUAAUGACAGUACCGGGAGAAUAAGCGCCGGCUAACUCCGUG
rnacentral:rRNA from 1 species